rnacentral:rRNA from 1 species
CCUACGGGAGGCAGCAGUGGGGAAUUUUGGACAAUGGGGGCAACCCUGAUCCAGCAAUGCCGCGUGAGUGAAGAAGGCCUUCGGGUUGUAAAGCUCUUUUGUCAGGGAAGAAACGGUGUGAGCUAAUAUCUCAUGCUAAUGACGGUACCUGAAGAAUAAGCACCGGCUAACUACGUGCCAGCAGCCGCGGUAAUACGUAGGGUGCAAGCGUUAAUCGGAAUUACUGGGCGUAAAGCGUGCGCAGGCGGUUUUGUAAGACUGUCGUGAAAUCCCCGGGCUCAACCUGGGAAUGGCGAUGGUGACUGCAAGGCUAGAGUUUGGCAGAGGGGGGUAGAAUUCCACGUGUAGCAGUGAAAUGCGUAGAUAUGUGGAGGAACACCGAUGGCGAAGGCAGCCCCCUGGGUCAAAACUGACGCUCAUGCACGAAAGCGUGGGGAGCAAACAGGAUUAGAUACCCUGGUAGUCCACGCCCUAAACGAUGUCUACUAGUUGUCGGGUUUUAAUU